UACGGAGGGUCCAAGCGUUAUCCGGAAUCAUUGGGUUUAAAGGGUCCGUAGGCGGUUUUGUAAGUCAGAGGUGAAAGCCCAUCGCUCAACGGUGGAACGGCCAUUGAUACUGCAAGACUUGAAUUAUUGGGAAGUAACUAGAAUAUGUAGUGUAGCGGUGAAAUGCUUAGAGAUUACAUGGAAUACCAAUUGCGAAGGCAGGUUACUACCAAUAUAUUGACGCUGAUGGACGAAAGCGUGGGGAGCGAACAGG
rnacentral:rRNA from 1 species